rnacentral:lncRNA from 1 species
GUCAACCUUCAUCCCAAAAAUCAAAUGCUAACAAUAACUUUAAGUCAUAAAAAUAAAAUCAAUAAAAAAAAGUGUGUUAAAAUGGACCAUUUAGAAUAAAUAAUUAAAAUAAAAUAUUAAUAUUAAAAAAAAUACGAAAAUAAAAAUUAUAUAAAAUUAAAUAAAACAUUAAGAAAAGUGAAAAAUAUUUUUGGGUAAUUUUAUGGACGAAGAAAAUAUUUUAAAUAAGAAAAAGAAAUAUGAAAAUGGAAGGAUUAA